rnacentral:lncRNA from 1 species
GGAGAACGAAAAUGAGAAUCGGUAAGUGCCACAACUCUUGAAAAACCGAGCAAGCAUAAAAAAUAUAUAUAUAAAAUAUAGAAAAGAGAAACAUCUGUUUUGUAAAUAUGAUGUGAAAGAAAAGAAAAAAUAGAAAAAAUGAAAAUGAAUGCUUGCUUGGAAGAAAAAUAGUGAAAAACAAAAAUUGAGUUGUGAAAUAAGAGUUGUGAAGGUUUCAAAUGAGAAACAAAUGGAACGAAGUUGAGAUGUGUGAAUAAUGUACAGUGAAUGUCUCUUUUGCAUCGGCAAUUUCGUUUUCAAUGGCCUUAGAAAUGACCCUUGUUUGUUAACCUAACCAAGCUUCAACCGAAAAG